GGGCGUAAAGAGCUCGUAGGUGGUUUGUCGCGUUGUUCGUGAAAUCUCACGGCUUAACUGUGAGCGUGCGGGCGAUACGGGCAGACUUGAGUACUGCAGGGGAGACUGGAAUUCCUGGUGUAGCGGUGGAAUGCGCAGAUAUCAGGAGGAACACCGGUGGCGAAGGCGGGUCUCUGGGCAGUAACUGACGCUGAGGAGCGAAAGCGUGGGGAGCGAACAGGAUUAGAUACCCUGGUAGUCCACGCCAUAAACGGUGGGUACUAGGUGUGGGUUUCCUUCCUUGGGAUCCGUGCCGUAGCUAACGCAUUAAGUACCCCGCCUGGGGAGUACGGCCGCAAGGCUAAAACUCAAAGAAAUUGACGGGGGCCCGCACAAGCGGCGGAGCAUGUGGAUUAAUUCGAUGCAACGCGAAGAACCUUACCUGGGUUUGACAUGCACAGGACGCCGGCAGAGAUGUCGGUUCCCUUGUGGCCUGUGUGCAGGUGGUGCAUGGCUGUCGUCAGCUCGUGUCGUGAGAUGUUGGGUUAAGUCCCGCAACGAGCGCAACCCUUGUCUCAUGUUGCCAGCGGGUAAUGCCGGGGACUCGUGAGAGACUGCCGGGGUCAACUCGGAGGAAGGUGGGGAUGACGUCAAGUCAUCAUGCCCCUUAUGUCCAGGGCUUCACACAUGCUACAAUGGCCGGUACAAAGGGCUGCGAUGCCGCGAGGUUAAGCGAAUCCUUUUAAAGCCGGUCUCAGUUCGGAUCGGGGUCUGCAACUCGACCCCGUGAAGUCGGAGUCGCUAGUAAUCGCAGAU
rnacentral:rRNA from 1 species